GACGGCACAAUCUGCUUCGACACUGCGCAGGACGCAGCCUCCGCUAUCGCCUCAGGUGACAAGGACACUCUUCUUAGGAUCUCGUGAGGUUAUUUGCCUUGAACUUGAAUCAAAUCAUUGCAUAUUGAGACUCGUGAGUGGAGUUGUAAAAAUAAAAAAUAAAAAAAAACAAAAAAAUCAAACAAGCGAUCGUGCAUAUUACCUGGUGGUAUUCAGAGUGUGAUUGAGUGGAGUUCCUCUUCUAUUCAAAAAAAUCAAAGGGGAAAAUAAAGCAAAUAUAUCCUUAUACACCUUGUGUUAUUGAAACUUCGCCCCACAAAGGGCCUAAGUCAGGAGGCAUCUUGACAAGGCUCUUGACAGCUAGUAUGGGGCGUAAAUGGCUGUCAAACGCACAUUCUAUGCGACAGUGGCAUUUUUGUAAAUAUGUCAAAAAAAUGAAGUUUGGAGUUUGGGCAUGGAAAAAUUACGAGAGAUUUCUUGAAGUCAUUGAAGUCUAUUGGUGAAGAAAGAUUUCGAUUUGGAGGUACAAAGAAUUUAAUUUACCCAUUAUACCUCCUCAAACAAAAGGGGUGUGGGAGUUGAAGACCCCCCAGCACCCAUGCCAAUCAGCAAGGCCUUGGCAUGCCUUGCACGAUGCAACAUUGGAAGCUUGGCUAGCAUGCUUAGGUAUGGAUGGCACUACCCCAAGGUGGUGGCACAAGAUGGCGACAUCAGUGGUGCACUGGACACCAAGAGCAGACAUGUAUGCGUUGUGUGCAUGCGCGGGCACAUACCAUGCGCGCGCACGUGACACUCUCAGAGCACACAUGCGUUUGUCCCCAACCUUAUGUUUGGCUUGACACGCCAUGCACCCAUGGGCCCUUGUGUGGGCUAACUUUCCCUUGGGCAAGGUUAUGGGCUCCAGACUAAGAUAUGGGUUAGUCGUAUGCUUACUUAGGUCACAUCCUCCUAGACCCAUGGUGGACAUUCAUAUGGUGUGGUCAUAGCUUAGCACCAUGGCCAUGGCCAUGGCCAAGGCGUAGGCAUGGUUCAACACCAUGUCCCAGACCAAGGAUUAGUCAACAUGGAAUCGGCAUGCAUGGCUCAGCGCCAUGUCCCAAUAGACCAAGGCGUGGUCAACAAAGGUGUGGGCAUGGCUCAACGCUAUGCUCUAAUGGAUCAAUUCAAGGUGUGGGUUUGGCUUGGUCAGAUUUGUGGGCAUUCAGAUUCGUGGGCUUGACUCAGAUAGUGCGGUUCAUGAUGGCUCGACGUGGCUAAGUGGUUCGGGUUCAGUUGUGGGUUCCAAUAGUUGGGAGUAGUUACUGAGCAUUUCCCCCACAUGUGCACACAUGAUGCAUGAUGGAGUAGUGGGAAUGUGCCAGCAACCACCCAUGAUAAGUGGCAUUCUUUGAAGGCUGACACCUCACAAAACAGUUGCAUCAGUUCCUCCCAUCUCUGAAGACAUGGUCAUGUACUGAAGAUAUAUGUGAGGCAAUUGCUGAGCAAUGUGGUAGUGCCGGAGUGAGCCAACACACCUAUGUAGUUGGUAGUUAAUGCUAACAUGAUCCUAUAGUGGGGGGAUGCCUUCACUCACCCUUGUUGCAGUUGUAGUCAGUUUUCUAGAGUGGGUUAUAAAUUGUAAUAGAGGGGUUUGUCGUAAGUACAGAGAUAUACACUCUGAGCUUGUGCAGACAUUGAGGGUUCCUUGUGCUAUUUCGUGAAUAAUAGUGAAGGUUUGAGGCUUUAGCCUCUGUAAAUGCUGUGUCUCUUCUGUGCCUUUUUGUAAUUAAUGUGUGCAUGUUGUGUAGCUGACUAAGUCAAGAAUGAAAGUUGUUUUUUAUUCUUGGCUUAGUGCCAUCAUAGGGUAAGGAUUUUGGUGCAAAAAAUUGACCCUGUGACACCUUGCAUGGUGGAAUUCUAAGGGUGGUUGUUGUGGAGAAGACAGAAUCGAAUCAAAUUCACAAAAUCAUGAGAAACUACUAGCAUAUUCCAAUUAUCUUAAUAUUGAACUUUUUUCACAAUUAAUUUUAUAUCAUAAACCCUAAAAAGUUCCAAAUCCAGAAUUAAAUCAAAUCCAAAGUAGUUACCCUUUUCUAUAUGUGGCUUUUAUAUAAACCCUAAAAAGUUUUUGAGUUUCGCAGCCCUUCUAAAACAAGAAAAAGACUUAGAGACCCUCACUCCGAUUUUCAAUCGUUUAGGAGAAUCAUUGCCAUUCUGUUUUGAUUCUGUCAAAAAGAAGAUGAUGAGAUCGUAACUUUGAUCGGAUUAUUUUAGAGAAAGAAUCCGAAACAAAAACAAAGAAUCAACAACUCAACAAGUCAAUAAAAAAAUAAAAUAAAAAUAAAAUAAAAACAUUCUUUCUCCCUCACCACAUCUUCUUUUGUGUAUAUAUAUAUAUAUA